GCGCCUGUAGUAUAAUGGUUAUUAUUCUCGCCUUCCAUUGAGUUAGCGAGAGACUCGGGUUCGAUUCCCGACGGGCGCA